AAGCCGGACGGCGGUAUCGCCGCGAACCCCGUCAGGCCCGAAAGGGAGCAGCGGUAGUGGUUGCUAUCGGGUGUCUGGCUUCCCU
rnacentral:SRP_RNA from 1 species